AAGCAUUCUGGAGUCACAACAUCGGCAUAGAAGGUGGCCAGCCUUUGGCUUUUGCAGCCGUUUGUGGAGUCUUUAUGGAAGAGCAGCGUGGUCAAGAGACCACGGCUGCGUAACCCCGUCUGCAGUGUGUGAGGCUGGAGUGCUGACCCUGGACCUGCCCAGUCAUGCCUUCUCGGUCAGCUGUUCAUCUCAUCUGCUACCACGUUUUGUGUAGAUGAACAACAAGCCUGGAAUCAUGCAUGGGAAUGCCAGCCUCACAUGACAUAGGAGACAGAGAAGGAGGAGGCGGGCACAAGCGGGACCCCACAGCUGGCAGCCCCCUUCAGACCGCUGGGAGAUAGCCAAUGGUUUACAGCAACCAAGUGAAAGCCCAGCUAGGACAGAGGUGACCAAGACCCUCACUGCACCCUCAACUGCCCUCCUUGGCGAGGUGGCUGCUCCCAUGCCUGGGGCAAAUACUUGGACUCAAGAGCAAGGAAUGUCCUGAAGACUUGCACAGGGAAAAGUAUUGGAGCUUGGAUUAAAUACAGAUUAACAACAACAACAACAACAACAAGCCAGGCUCAGAAAGAGAGGGACAAAGAAACAGAAAGGAAGUUAAAAACAAACCACAGGACUGAGUUCCUUCAUUUCAGGGUCUAAUGAGGGCUGGCGGCCGCAGUCACUCUAGAAUUCCCGACACGGAGUUCCAAAUUUUCUACAAACAAUGGAAGAUCUAGCAUUUUAAAGCUUUUAUCAGCCUAUAUUACAUUUUCAAUGAUAACUUUUUAAAUUCUUUAGUAGCACACCAACUAACACUAAAGUAAGCCACAUGGCCAAGCGUGAUGGCAUGUGCCUGUGGUCCCAGCUACUUGGGAGGCUGAGAGGGGAGCAUCCCUUAAG